AACAGGAAAGGGAGAAAAUGCAACGGACCAGACCAGGAUUCGAACCCGGGCCCCCUGAAUCUCUAGUCAGGUGCUCUACCAACUGAGCUAACUGGCCACCUGUGAUCGAACCCGGUCGACCGCUACAUAAGAAGUGUCUAGUGCGUGCCAGCCUUUCAAUAGAUGUCAUAAAGGCUGAGUCAGUCUUCAAUGAACUAAACUCACUUAACAACACAAUUAAAAUGAUGCAAGGCACAGAAAUGUACAUUUCACAAUUAGGAAGACACAUGCUGAGAUCUUACCCACGAGUACAUAAUCAACAGGAAGGAAGAAAAUGCAAACAGGAUUCAAACCUAGAUACUCUGAACAUAGAUAGGUUCAAUGCUGACAGUACACCUACUGAUGAGCCAAUCAAUAAGAAGGACCACUCACCGACUGGGAGCCUGAACGUAAACUGCUUGUCCUGAAAUCGACAUAGGACUGCAGACUCCGG